ACAUAUAGACAUGGGUGAUGGGUCAUUCUUAAAUGGAGCACUUCAUUGGUUAGUUUUCACCCAUGAUAAUGAUGAUCCCAGAAUUAUUGCAUUUAAUGUGAUGGAAAGGAAUAUAUCAGAGAUUUCACAGCCACCGCGUGAAUUGAAAUAUCCACCACAUUUGUGUCAUUUUUCUAAGGGUAAUGGGAGAAUGUUUAUGUCUCUGAAAGAAUACAAAGUGCAAUCAUCUUGGACCAAAUUAUUAUUAUUUUUAUACUAAUAUUGAUCCAUUCCAUCACUUUAUCCCAAUAUGCUUCACAGAAAAAUGGUGAAAUCUUGGGACAUGUACAGACCUAGCGAGAAUCAAUGACAAAGGCGAGUUGCUUGAGCAUCAAGAACUUGGGCUGCUCAGACGCAGUUAUGGAUUACUAUGCUCUCUAGUUUGUAUAGAGAGAGUUUGCUAUCACUCCCCGUCGACUAAGUGAAGAUUAACAAUGGUAGUAGCUGAAAGAAUUAAUCAUUUAUAUUUUAUCUAUGUGCAUAACCUAUGACUGAGACAAGAAAGUUUCUUAGUUAGAGACAUUGAUCUUCAUAUGGACUGCCUGAGAUAUGAAAAUUAUGAAUACUCAAUUAUGGUCUUUCAGGAACUCGGGUUGUUGCAUUUUAUUCCUACUCUGCACUUACAACAGGGUUUUAUGGUGGUGGAUGGACAAAAUUCUUGUAUAUAGUAAUGAAUAGAAAAUCCAGACAAGAAUCUUUUAUAUUAUAGAACCAAUUUCACUGGCAGGUCCAAUUUCUUGUUUGUCAUUGAUUUGGCUGGCCUUGAUGGAGUAGAUGCAUGUUUAAUUUCUAUUAAAAGUUCAAAA